UGCAACAGAUCUCUUGUUUUCGCAGGGCCACGUGGAUUCCCAAGCCCAUCCUGACCUCAUGGGGUCACCGCUCUGGCUCAGCGGUUGAGUGAGACCUAGCCAGGGUCUUACUCAGGGGCUUCUGAGCUGGAGGGGAGCCCAAGGAGAGGAGGCCUGAAUAGGAACGGGCGUUUCAGGACCCAUUCCAGGCACGGGAACCGUGGGGACAGACCUCCGUUCUGAUGAGCAAAAAUCAGAGGAACCAGUGAUCCGAAAGGGGUCUACGUGUCGGAACAAUGAAAUUCCGUAUAAAAUCAGUGUUGCCGUCACGACUUCCUUAAAGGCACGGGGACCAGAUGACUUGUCCCGGGUCACACGGCUACAAAGUGGCAGGGCUGUGAUGAAACCCAAGCCUGGAAUCAAAACGUGGAUAAGACAAGCCGGCAGGCCUGUGUGCCGGGAACUGGGCAGUGCGGCCCACGGGGACAUGACUGCACGUACUUGCUCUGGGACACAGUGCUGCUCAUGCUGGGGAGUGCACGGAGUCACUGACGGGACCGUCUUCCAAGGUGGAGGACCCUGGUCCUUACCCACAAGGUGUCCUCUGAGCGGUGAGCCCCAGAUGCAGUGACACGUGGCCUUCGAAGAGAGACACAUGGGCGGAAGAGGAGGUGAUGUGACCGUGGAGGCAGAGCUUGGGGUGAUGCGGCCCCGAGUCCAAGAAUGCUGGCAGCUACUCUUGUAGAAAGGACUUGUGCCCCCCACCCCCCCACGCCCCGCCUCCCCAGAGCCUCUGACACCUUGGUGUCAGAUUCAGCCUCCAGAAGUGUGCAAGGAAACAUUCGUCACCGCAGCCCUAGGAAACCAAUGCAGUGACGGAAUUCCCUUCUCAGAACUUGCUCAGGAAAUGCCAAGACCCAAUGGCUCAAAGACGUGGCUGCCAGCUUCUGAGACGUGGGGCGUGGUCUCAGGCUCGCAGCUGUUGCCGAACGUCUCGUAAAGUAUCUCUGCCCAGGGGUCCAGGCAUGGAGCAAAAAAGUGUGUGGCGUUAAAAUCCUUCCUUGAUGGCAGGGGCGCCUGGGUGGCUCAGUCGGUUAAGUGUCCAUCUCUUGGUUUCAGCUCAGAUCAU